rnacentral:rRNA from 1 species
GACGUAGGGCGCGAGCGUUGUCCGGAAUUAUUGGGCGUAAAGAGCUCGUAGGCGGUUUGUCGCGUCUGCUGUGAAAACCUAAGGCUCAACCUUGGGCUUGCAGUGGGUACGGGCAGACUAGAGUGCGGUAGGGGUGACUGGAAUUCCUGGUGUAGCGGUGGAAUGCGCAGAUAUCAGGAGGAACACCGAUGGCGAAGGCAGGUCACUGGGCCGCAACUGACGCUGAGGAGCGAAAGCAUGGGGAGCGAAUAGG